rnacentral:rRNA from 1 species
ACGGAAUAGAUACCCCGGUAGUCCCAGCCGUAAACGAUGCUCGCUAGGUGUCAGGCAUGGCGCGACCGUGUCUGGUGCCGCAGGGAAGCCGUGAAGCGAGCCACCUGGGAAGUACGGCCGCAAGGCUGAAACUUAAAGGAAUUGGCGGGGGAGCACAACAACGGGUGGAGCCUGCGGUUUAAUUGGACUCAACGCCGGACAACUCACCGGGGGUCGACAGCAAUAUGUAGGCCAGGCUGAAGACCUUGCCUGAAUCGCUGAGAGGAGGUGCAUGGCCGUCGCCAGUUCGUACUGUGAAGCAUCCUGUUAAGUCAGGCAACGAGCGAGACCCGUGCCCACUGUUACCAGCAUAUUCUCCGGAAUGAUGGGUACUCGGUGGGGACCGCCGAUGUUAAACUCGGAGGAAGGUGCGGGCCACGGUAGGUCAGUAUGCCCCGGAAUCUCCCGGGCUACACGCGGGCUACAAUGGAUGGGACAAUGGGUCCCUCCCGUGAAAACGGGUCUGGUAAUCUCACAAACCCGAUUCGUAGUUCGGAUCGAGGGCUGUAACUC